rnacentral:lncRNA from 1 species
AAAGGAUAUGCAGUCCCCCUUGCUUGGUGGAGCACAGGAAGUCAGAGAGUCCAGAAUCCCAGCUUUCAAGGCCUCACAACUCUUCAUACAAUAAAGCAACUCUGAACUAAGGACACCCAAUCACAAAGCUGGGAUUGAUAAAACAGUGCAUGCCGUUUGCUGAAGUGUGCUUCACUUGCCCGCAGUGAAGUUUGGCCUGCUGUAUGUUCCAGAGACAGCAUAUCAUGAAGACUCUUGGUUACUAGACUAUGAAAUAAACUAUACACCAAGUUAAAUAGCUUUUACUCUUUUUGCUAGAAGACCUCAAAUAGAUAUUAGUUCUAAAAUAGCUGUAAUUCAACCAACUAGCUGGAUUCUCAAAAAUCCUGUAAAUAAUCUGGGUUUCUGACUUAGCUUUACCACUAAUUAGCUAGGAGCCGGACUCUGAAUGGCUCAUACACAGGUGAAAAGGCUGUUUUCCUAUGUAUACUCUGAUUCUAUGAAGCAAAUGAAUCAAUGAUUGGGUAACAAAUCUUUCAUAAAUUGGGUGGUCUUUGUCAGCUGAUCAUUAAAAAGAAUUUUUGAUGGUAAAUCACCAUGUAAUUUUUGACAUAUUUACUUGCAUAAAGUUCAAAUAACUGGAAUACAGUACCCUAUCAAAACUCCUUCAUUGCCAUUUACUUAACUAUGUGAACAAGAUUUCUCAGCAUUUAUAUCUAUAAAAGCAGAAAAUACGAAUAGAGUUGAUGCUGAAUCCUGUCUCAUUUGAGAAGUACAACAGAAAAAUGAGCUGACUGAAGAAAAAGCAUUAGGUUAAAAUACAUUAAGAGAUGCAUUUCCACUAAAAUUUUCCCUAAGUAUAAUAAUUACUUAUAAAAAUUUCC